AGAUGCAGUGCAUAAGAAAUCCAUAAAUAUUUAUUUUGAGGAGUUUACUACUGUAUUUUCUGUUGGCAGCCAUCUUUUUCUUACACUGAUAGAUAAUGGCUAUGUUGAUGAUGGAUUGUAUUGUAUAGAUAUAUGCUUUUUCAGUAUUUCAAUAAAAAAAACAUGCUUUUUCAAUUUCAAUAUGAUAACAUGAUUUGUUUGGGCAUUGAUGUUAUAUUGCAGAAAUUGUGCAAAGGAAGUCUGAG
rnacentral:lncRNA from 1 species